rnacentral:tRNA from 1 species
AAGACUUGCAGAACUCUAAUCCGCAUCUACCAAUUGCAACUCGGCCGCUUUCAUUAAACCAAAGCCUCA